UGCGUAGGCGGCGCGGUAAGUCGGGUGUGAAAUCUCGGAGCUUAACUCCGAAACUGCAUUCGAUACUGCCGUGCUUGAGGACCGGAGAGGAGACUGGAAUUUACGGUGUAGCGGUGAAAUGCGUAGAUAUCGUAAGGAAGACCAGUGGCGAAGGCGGGUCUCUGGACAGUUCCUGACGCUGAGGCACGAAGGUCAGGGGAGCAAACG
rnacentral:rRNA from 1 species